UACGAAGGGGGCUAGCGUUGCUCGGAAUUACUGGGCGUAAAGGGCUCGUAGGCGGCCAACUAAGUCAGACGUGAAAUCCCUCGGCUUAACCGGGGAACUGCCUUUGAUACUGGAGAGCUUGAGUCCGGGAGAGGUGAGUGGAACUCCGAGUGUAGAGGUGAAAUUCGUAGAUAUUCGGAAGAACACCAGUGGCGAAGGCGGCUCACUGGCCCGGUACUGACGCUGAUGUGCGAAAGCGUGGGGAGCAAACAGG
rnacentral:rRNA from 1 species